rnacentral:rRNA from 1 species
GAUGAACGCUGGCGGCGUGCCUAAUACAUGCAAGUCGAGCGAACGGACGAUAAGCUUUCUUCUCUGAUGUUAGCGGCUGACGGGUGAGUAACACGUGUAUAACCUACCUUUAUUUCUUGUAUAACUUCGUGAAACCGUUUCUAAUACCGUAUGAUAUUUUGUUCUGCAUGGUUCAAAAGUUUUUGACGGUCUUUCUGUCUCUUUUAGAUGUUUCCGCUCUGCAUUAGCUAGUUGGUAAGGUAACGGCUUACCAAGGCAACGAUGCAUAGCCGACCUGAGAGGGUGGUCGGCCAAACUGGAACUGAGACACGGUCCAGACUACUACGGGAGGCAGCAGUAGGGAAUAUUCGGCAAUGGGCGAAAGCAUGAAGGAGCAAAGCCGCGUGAGUGAUGAAGGACUUCGGAUCGUAAAACUCUGUUAUUAGGGAAGAAAAUAUGUGGAAGAAAAUGUGCACAUAAUGACGGUACCAAAACAGAAAGCAACGGCUAACUACGUG